rnacentral:lncRNA from 1 species
GUUCAGGGAGGGAACAGGGAGUAUGGUCCUGUCAGUUGUUUUAAGGUCUUUGGAUUUUACUCUGAAUAAAACGAGAGGCCUUUGGAGAGCUGUCAGUUCCGGAACCACAAGUCUAACAGGUUUAUUAGGAUCACACUGGUGACUGAGUUAAGACCAGGCUGUAUGGGGCAAAUACAAAGGAAGAGCCUCCAAGAAGUAAUCUGGGUGAGAGAAGACUGAGAGUUGCAGCAGGCUGGUCACAGGGCAGAUGAUGAGAAAUUGCUGGAUCCAGGAUGUAUUUGGGAGGCUCUGUGUUAGUGGAUUCACAAGCAACCUGUACUCCUCAAAGAAAGAUGAUAAGAUGAAGGAGAUCUCUAGAACCAGCAACUGGGGCUCUUCCUUCAGUGAAAAAAGUGGGUGUAUGCAGACUCAUCCAUCCAUGAAUCUAGAUUGCAGGGAUGUGACCUAUGUAAUGAACUUGCUACUUAUUGCUCAUCAUCAUCUUCUUCAAUGACAAAAAAGAAAAUAGUAACAAUGAAUACGUCUCUUGGGCAAAAUAAAUAAUGAGAUUGUUACAGCAACCUGAUUUUUGAAAAGAAAAAAGGAACUUCCUCGAACUAAAGCAGUUAAGACCUCGACAUUUGCUCAUAGAAAAAGUCGCUGAGUCGUUUCUAGUUGUGAAGGUGCAAAAGAUGCAGUUAUCCCUUAUGGAAAAUUCCAAGAACUUGUGCCUAAUUUGAGUCAUGCAAACCUGAGUUCUGCAUGACUGAGCUCUGUCACUCAAUGGUUGGGAAAUUUGUGAUCAUCUCUACGCCUUGCUUUCUGCAUCUGUAAAGUGGAAAUGAUAAUAUCUACCUUGUGUGAUUCCUGGAAGAAUUAAAUACAUUAUAUUCAAAAUCUUUUGGUCAAUUGUAAAUUAACAGCAAGCAUAAGUUAUUGUAAACUGAG